rnacentral:ncRNA from 2 species
CAGUGUCCGCACGGGAGCCGCUGCAGCGGCUGAGAGGGAGCAUGCAGCUCCGACCGUGGAACCUGAUCCGGGUUAUGCCGGCGCAGGGAGCGUGAUUCGUGUGAUG